rnacentral:ncRNA from 2 species
UACCGACAAGGCGCUGACGGGGCUGACAACCUUGAGGAAACCGGUGCGAAUCCGGUGCGGUCCCGCCACUGUGAUCGGGGACGGACACGUCCCGACCCGAGAGCCAGAUACUCACCGUCAGCGCUUCCUCACG